GAUCCGGUAGAAAAAAAAUCAUUGAUCAGGAAAGACAUAAAAAUAUUUCGUGAUGAAUAAUAUAGUCAACAAUAAUUUUGACAUGAUUUGCGUCAAAAAAUAAUUUUGAUAUGAUAUACUUUUAAAAUUGAUGAUGUUUAUCAAUUAUUGCACAUAACUUUAAUCACAAUUGGUAUACUUGCCAUAGUGGUUGGAAAUAUUGCCUUGCAUUAAAAGGUUGCGGGUUCGAAUCUUAGUCAAGACAAAAUUGUAUUAUUUUUUAAUAAAAAUUGCAAGAUAAAAUGGAGGG
rnacentral:lncRNA from 1 species